rnacentral:snoRNA from 1 species
AUCCCAUGAUGAGAACCCUUAUGAAGUAACUCCUUGAAUCGCUCCCAAGCCUCAUACAAAGACUCGUCAUCCAAUUGUUUGAAAGUUGUGAUCCUGUUCCUUAACUU